rnacentral:rRNA from 1 species
AAUCAACGCUGGCGGCGUGCCUCAGACAUGCAAGUCGAACGCGAAAUUUCCCUUCGGGGAGAAAGUAGAGUGGCGCACGGGUGAGUAACACGUAGGUAAUUUGCCUUUGGGUGGGGAAUAACUCAGGGAAACUUGAGCUAAUACCGCAUAAUGCAGCGGCUCGACAUCGAGACAGUUGUUAAAGCGGGGGAUUGGAGCAAUCCGACCUCGCGCCUAAAGAGAAGCCUGCGGCAGAUUAGCUAGUUGGUAAGGUAAUGGCUUACCAAGGCGACGAUCUGUAACCGGCCUGAGAGGGCGGUCGGUCACACUGACACUGACAUACGGGUCAGACUCCUACGGGAGGCAGCAGUCGGGAAUUUUGGGCAAUGGGCGCAAGCCUGACCCAGCAACGCCGCGUGAAGGAUGAAAUUUUUCGGAAUGUAAACUUCGCAAGAACAGGAAGAAUAAGUGUGGGACAAUACCCACAUGAUG